rnacentral:lncRNA from 1 species
UCACUGAUGUGAAAAUUGACCCAGGCAGUGCUUCUUCGGCUCCUGCUAGGACCUUGAGCCCACCUGCUUCUCUGCAUUCCUCCCUGAUGAGCUUCUCCAUAUUGCUCCUUCCAGGGGAGUUUCUGACACCCGCAUGAUUGGCUGCUACUGUGUUGUGAAUUCAGAGAUUUCACGAUGCUGAUGGCAUUCUAGAGGUUGGAAGGUCUCCAGUUCUCAAUCAUCUCAGAAAACGGACCAUCUGUGAUUGGUAGCCAUGGCCAGGUUGAAUAAUCCUGAUUGUGAAGCCACCCUGUGUAACUUUAUAUUGGGUUUGUGAUUAGUGAGCAUUUGCAUUUAUUAAAAGUGGGCACGCUUAGGGAAUUCUUGGGGUUUAAUUCCAAUAAUAUUUCAACUCACAUUUAUUGCGAACAGUGGUUUUAAUUAAAAGUCUCCGGCACUUGUGUGUAGGCCUCCUUAUCAUGAGAGAUUGCCUGUGCAGGAACAAAAGAAAGUUCUGCUAUUGUUUACAAAUGGAAUGUGCCUGGUGGAGCUAGAGCUUCUAACCAUAGCAUUCUGGAAAUUAGUCACAUAUUGCUGUGUAUUAUGUUUAUUACUUAGGAUCUUUAUGGGUGUUCUUAAAAAGAGACAGCUUCUUGCAUCCAGUUUCUUAGAGUCUGGGUAGUAACUUGGGAAAAAAACUGAAUUUUAUGUAUAGUGAUAUCUUCCUCAAAAUUGCUGUCACUCAGUGUUUAUUCUAAAAAGUGUUUAGUUUUGACUAAUUGAUAUGCUGGUGAAGGCUGGGCAUGGUGGCUCAUGCCUGUAAUCUCAGCACUUUGGGAGGCCAAGGCGGGAACAUCACUUGAGGUCAAGAGUUUGAGACCAGCCCAGACAACAGAGUGAAACCCCAUCUCUACUAAAAUUACGGAAAUUAGGUGGGCGUGGUGGCGGGUGCCUGUAAUCCAGCUACUUAGGAGGCUGAAGCAGGAGAAUCGCUUGAACUGGGGAGGUAGAGGUUGCAGUGAGCUGAGAUUGUACCACUGCAUUCCAGCCUGGGUGACAGAGCAAGACUCCACCUGAAAAAUAAUAAUAAUAAUAAAAACAAAAAAUAAAAAAUUAAAAAAUUAAAAAAUAUGUAUUUUUUUCUUUCUCUCAAUUUAUUUAACACUUGUUGAUUCUUGCAACUUUAUCUUUGAGAUUUUAUGCUCAUUUAACCCUCUUUUGGGAGCUUUGUUGCUUUGUUCAGCAUUAUGUAUUUUUAUUUCCUGAAAG